rnacentral:lncRNA from 1 species
CUUAGAAGUUGCUCCGGGAUGCAGCUCUGGAAGAAAACACAUUGAAUUCAUGAUCAUGGUUAACCUUUGGAGAGAGAGAGGAGACCAGGAUGAAGGAGCCAGUCGAAGCCAGUUGCUAUGUCAUGAACUGCUCUAUGAAGAAGCCUGUUUGUCAAGGAUCUGAAGCCUCCUGCCAAUAGCUGCAUGAACGAGUUUGGAAGAUCCAGUUCUACCCUUCAGAUGACUGUAGCUUGACGUCAACCUCAUGAGAGACCCUGAGACAGAACCACAAAGCGAAGUCCCUCCUGGAUCCCUGAUGCUACACAACUAUGUAAUAAAUGUUUG